rnacentral:rRNA from 1 species
GCUAAUACAUGCAGUCGACGCUUCUUUCCUCCCGAGUGCUUGCACUCAAUUGGAAAGAGGAGUGGCGGACGGGUGAGUAACACGUGGGUAACCUACCCAUCAGAGGGGGAUAACACUUGGAAACAGGUGCUAAUACCGCAUAACAGUUUAUGCCGCAUGGCAUAAGAGUGAAAGGCGCUUUCGGGUGUCGCUGAUGGAUGGACCCGCGGUGCAUUAGCUAGUUGGUGAGGUAACGGCUCACCAAGGCCACGAUGCAUAGCCGACCUGAGAGGGUGAUCGGCCACACUGGGACUGAGACACGGCCCAGACUCCUACGGGAGGCAGCAGUAGGGAAUCUUCGGCAAUGGACGAAAGUCUGACCGAGCAACGCCGCGUGAGUGAAGAAGGUUUUCGGAUCGUAAAACUCUGUUGUUAGAGAAGAACAAGGACGUUAGUAACUGAACGUCCCCUGACGGUAUCUAACCANNGAAAGCCACGGCUAACUACGUGCCAGCAGCCGCGGUAAUACGUUCGAGUGUCAAGCGUUGUCCGGAUUUAUUUGGGCGUAACGCGAGCGCAUUGCGUUUUCUUAAGUCUGAUGUGAAAGCCCUCCGGCUCAACCCGGGGAGGGUCGUUUUUGAAACUUGAGGAGACUUGAGUGGAGAAGAGUAGAGUGCUUAUUCCAUGUGUAGCGUUACGGCAUGCAGUAGAUAUAUGGAUGUAACACCUGGUUGCUCCGGCGGCUCUCUGAGUCUGUAAGUGACUCUGAGGCUCGAAAGCCGCCUUCGCACUGGGGAUCCUUCAGUAUUAGCUACCCUGGUAGUCCGCGCCGUACACGAUGAUUGCUAAGUGUUGGCGGGUUUCCGCCCUUCAGUGACUGCAGCAGUCGCAAUUAAUCACCUCCUGCCUGAGGCGGGAGGUACUUUCCGCAUAGGANUUGAAACUCAAACGGCAUGUGACGGGCGGUUCCGCACNAAGUGAGUCGGAGCAAUGUGGUUUAAUUCGCAAGCGAUACGCGAAGACAUCCUUACACAGNNNNGACNUCGUUGACAUCCUUUGACCACUCUAGAGAUAGAGCUUUCCCUUCGGGGACAAAGUGACAGGUGGUGCAUGGUUGUCGUCAGCUCGUGUCGUGAGAUGUUGGGUUAAGUCCCGCAACGAGCGCAACCCUUAUUGUUAGUUGCCAUCAUUUAGUUGGGCACUCUAGCGAGACUGCCGGUGACAAACCGGAGGAAGGUGGGGAUGACGUCAAAUCAUCAUGCCCCUUAUGACCUGGGCUACACACGUGCUACAAUGGGAAGUACAACGAGUCGCUAGACCGCGAGGUCAUGCAAAUCUCUUAAAGCUUCUCUCAGUUCGGAUUGCAGGCUGCAACUCGCCUGCAUGAAGCCGGAAUCGCUAGUAAUCGCGGAUCAGCACGCCGCGGUGAAUACGUUCCCGGGCCUUGUACACACCGCCCGUCACACCACGAGAGUUUGUAACACCCGAAGUCGGUGAGGUAACCUUUUUUGAGUCAGGGGGGUUAA